AUCAUAUAAUUUAUAAUUCAUCAUUUUACUUCAGAAUACUUUUUAAACUUUAACAUAAUCCACUAUCAUAAAUCAAAUCCUCAUCAAGUUUUGAUACGAGAGUAAUUAUUUCCUCAGAAUUUAAUCUGAUAGCAACACUUUUUACAUCUUUAAAUCCACAAAAUUUUGAUGCUCUUUCUUUCUAUGAAAAGACAAUUAUAACAAUUAAUCCAUGAUAAUUCUAUUCUCUUAUUUCAUAAAGAGGUCAUCAGCCAAUUACCAAUGCGUAAGCUUUCUUGUAUGUCUAACAAAGACCUUCAAUUAAGAUUAUACCCUAAAGAUACCAUUCCACAAUUGAAUAAAAUUUAAAUUUGAUGAUUGUCUUAGACAUUAAACUAUCCACAUAUCAUCCAUAUAUUCUAUAACGUAUAGAUCUCGACAAGAAUGGAAUACUUUAUCCGCGAAAUCCAAAAAUACAAUUGAAAAUCACCCAAAAUUUACAUCAUGAAAAAUUUCAAUAAAUUCAUCUUAACUUCAAAAUUUAACUCAACGCUUCCAAAUUGUAUGGAAUAUUACACAAUAAUCCAACAAGUGGCUUUAACAAAACUAAUUAACUUAUAACCCAAAUCUAUCAUCACAUUAUUUUGCCAUAGGACAACCGCUAUAUUCAUUUACAUGUAAUUCAACAUAUCAUUUUAUGAUCUUGUAACCUUAGCAUUUAUCGUCAUAUCGUAUGACUCAAAACAUUUAAUUAUAUUAAUUUUUCCUUAAUACCACAAGAUAAUAACUUUCAUAUUUAUCACAUGAACAUUUCACACAUCAAUAUACCGCAUGUUAAUUUCCCAAUCUCAACAAAUUUCGAUUCUACCAUUCUAAAAAAAAAAAAAAAAAUCCCUCACAUAAACAUACCUAAAUGCACAUAUCCAUUUAAUUCUAUUUUUAAAGCAACAAAUCACCUCAUAAUAGGUAAUCAUUAUGAAGUUCAUCUCUAUUAUUCUUACAUUCCUUAUAGUCAAACAACUCAUAAAUAAUCGAAAUAAUUUGAAUUAUCGUUAAUUUCCUCGAUGCCUAAAAUACACAAUAACACAUUGUUAUCUAUUAAUCAACAAAUCAUCAUUUGUCUUUCACACUUUCUUAUCAUAUAGCAUAAAUAUACACCAUCAUAGUUUCUAUUAUCAUCCCAUAUAAGUGGCCACAAAUCACCACAAAAAUUUUGAUAACGCCACUAAUCAUUUAGUUUCCCAAAAUAAUUAAAAUUUCUCACCUGAUUAUCACCAUUUACACAUAUAAUAUUGUUUUCACUGUUACUAUAGUACAAGCUAGAACUAGGGAUUUCCCAAGUGUAUAUUAAAAACCACGAAAUUCUACACAAAGAUUGGUACUUAAAUGGUUGUACCCUAUCACUUCGAAUGUCUAUAAGUAAAUAACCAGCAAUACCAUCAAAACUUUCACCUUCAAAUUAACAAUAUGUCCAACUCUUAAAAAGCUACAUACACCAUCAUUCCAACCCAACAACUAAUAACACUUUCAACCAUCAGAUUAUGUAACUGGUGUACUUACAUACUACUCAUUUUCGAAUCCGUUAAAAGUAUUCUUCCACCAUUUUAGGUUCCAAACAUUACAGUAGCAAAAGUUUGAGAACCUGUGAUAUAUGCCACCAUGACAUGUGAUUGUAUCCACUGAACAUGCAUGAACUAUAAAUAUUUUCAAAACCAUGCUCUGAUACCAUUUUGACACGACCCGUCCCGAAUCACCCUAGUGGACUCGAAACAUGACGUGCGCCGAGGAUAGAUACUGACUAGAUGUCAAAUCUAUCACAAAUGCUGACUAUGAGUUAUUUCAAAAAAUGCAAAAUCAAAUGCUUAUGUAAAAUAUAAUGCUAUGGACCCAAAAUAUUUACUUCGUGCUUCAUCAAUAUAAAUUAUAACACUCAACAUGUCGUAUGGCUCUCAUUCUAAAAUCAUUAGGCUCUUCCAGCUAAAAAGAAUCAAUUUCCACCUGUAGAGAAAUUACAGGAAAAUAUAUGAGAUGAUAGCUCAGUGAGUAGAUAAAUUCUAAAAUAAUUAUACUUUUUCAUUUUUUUCAUUUUUAUCGAAAAUCGAGUUCAUAUCAUUGAUAACUCGCAAGAUAACAUCAUAUAAUUAUAGCCAAAAGUGAAAUUUUCACAUAAGGUCAUAAAAUAUCAUCUUAAAAUCAUGAUAUAGACAUCAAUUGAUAACCAUGCUAUAAUCUCAUCACAUCAAACGUACUGAAAAAUUCACCAAAAAUGUACCCUCUGGCUGAAAUAUAUAAUCUACUCCUCGGGCUAAGAACUUUCUCCACGGGCCUUUGACCCCUCCGUGAAUGAAUGUCGGUCUCAAAGACCUCUCAUAAUCAAGUCUAGAGUAUAGCCAAGGCCCCUCAAUGAACUAUAUGUACACGGUUGAGACCUCUUCAUCCCCAAUCCAAGACACCUCAGUCUAGUAUAGAACACGGUCAAGGCCCCUCAGUGACUAGAAGAAAUGUAUAAUCACGAGUACUUUUCUAGUCGAUCUCAAAAUCAUAUCUCAUAUUCCAAU
rnacentral:sRNA from 1 species